rnacentral:rRNA from 1 species
GAGGAAAAGAAAAUAACAAUGAUUUCCCUAGUAACGGCGAGUGAAGAGGAAAGAGCUCAAAGUUGGAACCUGUUUGGCUUAGCUAAACCGGAUUGUAAACUGUAGAAGUGUUUUCCAGACACGCCUGGUAAAAAAGUCCUUUGGAACAGGGCAUCAUAGAGGGUGAGAAUCCCGUCAUUGGCCAGAGCUGUUGUCUUUUGUGAUACAUUUUCAAAGAGUCAGGUUGUUUGGGAAUGCAGCCUAAAUUGGGUGGUAAAUCUCACCUAAAGCUAAAUAUUUGCGAGAGACCGAUAGCGAACAAGUACCGUGAGGGAAAGAUGAAAAGAACUUUGAAAAGAGAGUUAAACAGUAUGUGAAAUUGUUAAAAGGGAACCGUUUGGAGCCAGACUGGCUUGAUCGUAAUCACUCUAGGCUUUGGCCUGGAUGCACUUGCGGUCUAUGCCGGCCAACGACAGUUUUGUUUGAGGGAAAAAAUUACAUUGAAUGUGGCCCCUCGGGGUGUUAUAGCUUUGUAAAAAAUACCUUGGACGGGACUGAGGAACGCAGCGAAUGCCUUUAGGCGAGAUUGCUGGGUGCUUGCGCUGAUACAUGCUAGAAUUUCUGCUUCGGGUGGUGCUAGUGUGUAAAGGAGUAACCCGCUUAGUAUAUUUUUUAUUCGCUUAGGUUGUUGGCUUAAUGACUCUAAAUGAC